UACGGGGGGAGCAAGCGUUGUUCGGAUUUACUGGGCGUAAAGGGCGCGUAGGCGGUCAGCACAAGUCAGUUGUGAAAUCUCCGGGCUUAACUCGGAAAGGUCAACUGAUACUGUGCGACUAGAGUGCGGAAGGGGCAACUGGAAUUCUCGGUGUAGCGGUGAAAUGCGCAGAUAUCGGGAAGAACACCCGUGGCGAAGGCGGCAUCCUGGACCGACACUGACGCUGAGGAGCGAAAGCCAGGGGAGCAAACGGG
rnacentral:rRNA from 1 species